GGUGAAAUAGCUCAGUUGGUAGAGUACUUGCCUUUCAUGCACAAGGCCCUGGGUUCAGUCCCCAGCACCA
rnacentral:tRNA from 1 species